GGUUAAGCUCAAACUCCUGAGCACUUUGGGAGGUUGAGGAGGAUCGCUUGAGCCUAGGAGUUUGAGACCGGCCUGAGCAACAUGAUCAACAAAAGUAAAACAAUUUGAAACAAUUAAAAAUUAUUUAGUGAGUUUUUAGACUUUUGCUUGAUAAUGACCAAAGCCCAAGUCACACAAUCCUUUUGUUUGUUUGUUUGUUUGUUUGUAGAGAUUGGGUCUUGCUUAGUUGCCUAGGCUGGUUGCAAACUCCUGGCCUCAAGCAAUCCU
rnacentral:lncRNA from 1 species